rnacentral:rRNA from 1 species
AUUGAACGCUGGCGGCAGGCCUAACACAUGCAAGUCGAGCGAGCGUCGGACGGGUGAGUAAUGUAUGGGGACUGCCCGAUAGAGGGGGAUAACUACUGGAAACGGUGUCUAAUACCGCAUACUAUCGGAUCCACCAUAUGGGAGUAGCUAGUAGGUGGGGUAAAGGCUCACCUAGGCGACGAUCUCUAGCUGGUCUGAGAGGAUGAUCAGCCAAACGGGGAAUGAGACACGGCGCAGACGCCUACGGAGUCAGCAGGGGGGAAGAUUGCACAAUGGGCGCAAGCCUGAUGAAGCCAUGCCGCGUGGAUGAAGAAGUCCUUAGGGUAGUAAAGUACUUUCAGCGGGGAGGCGUUACCCUCAGAAGAAGCACCGGCUAACGCCGUGCCAGCAGCCGCGGUAAUUC